rnacentral:tRNA from 2 species
UCUUAGCUCAGUUGGUAGAGCAGCGGACUCUUAAUCCGUAGGUCGAGUGUUCGAGUCACUCAGG